GUUCAAACUGCUUCUGUUAUUGGAAAGAACAACACAAGAGGUUUUGAGCUUUCUCCACCAGAGGUGGACAUGGGGUACUUAAAGAAGGUCACACGUAUGUACAUUCGGUGAUAUUAAGGAACAUUGGUAUUGAUAGCUGUAGAUUCAAAGUACGACAACCUCCUCCAUCGACUGGUAUCAAAGUUUUGUUUAAUCAUGGUCCAGUUGCAGCAGGAAUGACGAGAAAACUAGACAUUGAAAUGUUUGCUGUAGCUGUUGGUGUAUCUGGAGAAAGUGGAGUUGGAUCUGUUGGUCAUCACAUUGAAAUAAUUGGCGAAAAUGAAAUUUUUUAUCUUCCUGUGUCGGCCACUAUUUUAACCGCUUAUGAGUAUGACAAUCGUUCAAAUUCGUUUCCC